GCCCGGAUGGCGGAAUAGGUAGACGCACGGGACUCAAAAUCCCGCGCCAGCGAUGGCGUGCCGGUUCGAUUCCGGCUCCGGGCA
rnacentral:tRNA from 1 species